rnacentral:rRNA from 1 species
GGUGAGCCGGCCCCUAAGGCGAGGGCGAAAGCCGUAGUCGAUGGGAACCAGGUCAACAUUCCUGGGCCUGCUGGAAGUGACGGACGCCGAAAGCUGUCUGCCCUUAUCGGAUUGGGUGGGCAGCCUGGGAGUUCCAGGAAAUAGCUCCAGCUUAUAGACCGUACCCGAAACCGACACAGGUGGACUGGUAGAGUAUACCAAGGCGAUUGAGAGAACUAUCUUGAAGGAACUAGGCAAAUUGCUCUCGUAACUUCGGAAGAAGAGAGCCCCCGCUAUGGGCAACCACUGCGGGGGGGCACAGGCCAGGGGGUAGCGACUGUUUACUA